rnacentral:rRNA from 1 species
UGGUUGAUCCUGCCAGUAGUCAUAUGCUUGUCUCAAAGAUUAAGCCAUGCAUGUCUAAGUAUAAACAAGUUUAUACCGUGAAACUGCGAAUGGCUCAUUAAAUCAGUUAUAAUUUAUUUGAUAUUCACUUACUACUUGGAUAACCGUGGUAAUUCUAGAGCUAAUACAUGCGUACAUAACCUCGACUUCUGGAAGAGGUGCACUUAUUAGAUAAAAAGCCAACGCGGGCAACCGCUUGUAUGGUGAUUCAUAAUAAUUAAUCGAAUCGCAUGGCCUUGUGCCGGCGAUGAUGCAUUCAAAUUUCUGCCCUAUCAAGUUUCGAUGGUAGGUUAGUGGCCUACCAUGCUUUUAACGGGUAACGGGGAAUUAGGGUUCGAUUCCGGAGAGGGAGCCUGAGAAACGGCUACCACAUCCAAGGAAGGCAGCAGGCGCGCAAAUUACCCAAUCCCGACACGGGGAGGUAGUGACAAUAAAUAACAAUACAGGGCCUUUACGGGUCUUGUAAUUGGAAUGAGUACAAUUUAAAUCCCUUAACGAGGAACAAUUGGAGGGCAAGUCUGGU